rnacentral:rRNA from 1 species
GGAUGAGAGCUGCUCUCGGGUGACGAGUGGCGGACGGGUGAGUAAUGUCUGGGAAACUGCCUGAUGGAGGGGGAUAACUACUGGAAACGGUAGCUAAUACCGCAUAAUGUCGCAAGACCAAAGAGGGGGACCUUCGGGCCUCUUGCCAUCGGAUGUGCCCAGAUGGGAUUAGCUAGUAGGUGGGGUAAUGGCUCACCUAGGCGACGAUCCCUAGCUGGUCUGAGAGGAUGACCAGCCACACUGGAACUGAGACACGGUCCAGACUCCUACGGGAGGCAGCAGUGGGGAAUAUUGCACAAUGGGCGCAAGCCUGAUGCAGCCAUGCCGCGUGUAUGAAGAAGGCCUUCGGGUUGUAAAGUACUUUCAGCGAGGAGGAAGGCAUUGUGGUUAAUAACCACAGUGAUUGACGUUACUCGCAGAAGAAGCACCGGCUAACUCCGUGCCAGCAGCCGCGGUAAUACGGAGGGUGCAAGCGUUAAUCGGAAUUACUGGGCGUAAAGCGCACGCAGGCGGUCUGUUAAGUCAGAUGUGAAAUCCCCGGGCUCAACCUGGGAACUGCAUUUGAAACUGGCAGGCUUGAGUCUUGUAGAGGGGGGUAGAAUUCCAGGUGUAGCGGUGAAAUGCGUAGAGAUCUGGAGGAAUACCGGUGGCGAAGGCGGCCCCCUGGACAAAGACUGACGCUCAGGUGCGAAAGCGUGGGGGAGCAAACAGGGAUUAGAUACCCUGGUAGUCCACGCCCGUAUACGAUGUCGACUUGGAGGUUGUGCCCCUUGACGCGUGGCUUCCGGAGCUAACGCGUUUAAGUCGACCGCCUGGGGGAGUACGGCCCGCAAUGGUUAAAAACUCAAAUGAAAUUGGACAGGGACCCCGCACAAGCUGGUGGGGAAGCCAAUGGUUGGG